CUGGCAAUGUUUUUGUCAUUCUUGCAGCAUUCUGCCUGGAAAGAAGCUGCUGCGCCCAAACCAAUCAAGCAUGAAGAGUGUGGCGUUGCUGGUCUUCCUGGCGGGGGUUGUUGCUGCCCUCCCCCACUCGCACGGCGAGUGCAGCCUGAUGGGGGCACUGCGGAAGGGCAGGCACUUUCCACCGCGGGCGCUUGCCCUCCGUG